rnacentral:misc_RNA from 1 species
GAUGAAGAACGCAGCGAAAUGCGAUAAGUAAUGUGAAUUGCAGAAUUCAGUGAAUCAUCGAAUCUUUGAACGCACAUUGCGCCCGCCAGUAUUCUGGCGGGCAUGCCUGUCUGAGCGUCAUUUCAACCCUCAUGCCCCUAGGGCGUGGUGUUGGGGAUCGGCCAAAGCCCGCGAGGGACGUCCGGCCCCUAAAUCUAGUGGCGGACCCGUCGUGGCCUCCUCUGCGAAGUAGUGAUAUUCCGCAUCGGAGAGCGAUGAGCCCCUGCCGUUAAACCCCCAACUUUCCAAGGUUGACCUCAGAUCAGGUAGGAAUACCCGCUGAACUUAAGCAUAUCAAUAAGCGGAGGA